rnacentral:lncRNA from 1 species
CUUGAAUUACUAUGGAAAGUAAUUGACCAAGGUGAAGGUGAACCGGAGGUGGAGCAAAUCACAGGAAACACAGCCAAGAUCAAAUCAACUGUCUCAAGCCUUCAACCUGGUUUAUAGAGAAACCAAGCUCUGGGAAAAAAGCAAACGUAAAUCUUCUCUGGAGAAAAAUAUCUUCAUUUUAAACCUGAAAUUAUUUCUAUAUAUUUUAUUUUAAUCAUUUCUUACAGGAUAAUAAUAAUAAUAAAGCACAAGAGGAAAUUCCAUGAGUGAGAACCAGCAGAAGCAACAGAAAAGAUCUUCAAAAUUUUGAGGAAUUG